UGCAGUCGAGCGGAGAAAUGGGAGCUUGCUCCCAUUUCUCAGCGGCGGACGGGUGAGUAACACGUGGGCAACCUGCCCUGCAGACUGGGAUAACUCCGGGAAACCGGAGCUAAUACCGGGUAAUACAUAGCAUCGCAUGAUGCAAUGUUGAAAGUUGGCCUUUGGCUAACACUGCAGGAUGGGCCCGCGGCGCAUUAGCUAGUUGGUAAGGUAACGGCUUACCAAGGCCACGAUGCGUAGCCGACCUGAGAGGGUGAUCGGCCACACUGGGACUGAGACACGGCCCAGACUCCUACGGGAGGCAGCAGUAGGGAAUCUUCCGCAAUGGACGAAAGUCUGACGGAGCAACGCCGCGUGAGUGACGAAGGCCUUCGGGUCGUAAAGCUCUGUUGUUAGGGAAGAACAAGUACCGUUCGAAUAGGGCGGUACCUUGACGGUACCUAACCAGAAAGCCACGGCUAACUACGUGCCAGCAGCCGCGGUAAUACGUAGGUGGCAAGCGUUGUCCGGAAUUAUUGGGCGUAAAGCGCGCGCAGGCGGUCUCUUAAGUCUGAUGUGAAAGCCCACGGCUCAACCGUGGAGGGCCAUUGGAAACUGGGGGACUUGAGUGCAGAAGAGGAGAGUGGAAUUUCCACGUGUAGCGGUGAAAUGCGUAGAUAUGUGGAGGAACACCAGUGGCGAAGGCGGCUUUUCUGGUCUGUAACUGACGCUGAGGCGCGAAAGCGUGGGGAGCAAACAGGAUUAGAUACCCUGGUAGUCCACGCCGUAAACGAUGAGUGCUAGGUGUUGGGGGGUUCCACCCUCAGUGCUGAAGUUAACACAUUAAGCACUCCGCCUGGGGAGUACGACCGCAAGGUUGAAACUCAAAGGAAUUGACGGGGGCCCGCACAAGCAGUGGAGCAUGUGGUUUAAUUCGAAGCAACGCGAAGAACCUUACCAGGUCUUGACAUCCUCUGCCACUCCUAGAGAUAGGACGUUCCCCUUCGGGGGACAGAGUGACAGGUGGUGCAUGGUUGUCGUCAGCUCGUGUCGUGAGAUGUUGGGUUAAGUCCCGCAACGAGCGCAACCCUUGAUCUUAGUUGCCAGCAUUCAGUUGGGCACUCUAAGGUGACUGCCGGUGACAAACCGGAGGAAGGUGGGGACGACGUCAAAUCAUCAUGCCCCUUAUGACCUGGGCUACACACGUGCUACAAUGGACGGUACAAAGGGCAGCGACACCGCGAGGUGAAGCGAAUCCCAUAAAGCCGUUCUCAGUUCGGAUUGCAGGCUGCAACUCGCCUGCAUGAAGCCGGAAUUGCUAGUAAUCGCGGAUCAGCAUGCCGCGGUGAAUACGUUCCCGGGCCUUGUACACACCGCCCGUCACACCACGAGAGUUUGUAACACCCGAAGUCGGUGAGGUAACCUUUUGGAGCC
rnacentral:rRNA from 1 species